rnacentral:rRNA from 1 species
GUAUAACAUAACCUCCGAGCAAUUAAACCAAGACUUACCAGUCAAGGCUAUAUAACUUAUUGAUCCAAUCUUAUUGAUCAACGAAACAAGUUACCCUAGGGAUAACAGCGCAAUCCUAUUUAAGAGUUCAUAUCGACAAUAGGGUUUACGACCUCGAUGUUGGAUCAGGACACCCAAAUGGUGCAGCAGCUAUUAAAGGUUCGUUUGUUCAACGAUUAAAGUCCUACGUGAUCUGAGUUCAGACCGGAGAA